rnacentral:rRNA from 1 species
GUAGGGAAUCUUCGGCAAUGGACGAAAGUCUGACCGAGCAACGCCGCGUGAGUGAAGAAGGUUUUCGGAUCGUAAAACUCUGUUGGUAGAGAAGAACGUUGGUGAGAGUGGAAAGCUCAUCAAGUGACGGUAACUACCCAGAAAGGGACGGCUAACUACGUGCCAGCAGCCGCGGUAAUACGUAGGUCCCAAGCGUUGUCCGGAUUUAUUGGGCGUAAAGCGAGCGCAGGUGGUUUAUUAAGUCUGGUGUAAAAGGCAGUGGCUCAACCAUUGUAUGCAUUGGAAACUGGUAGACUUGAGUGCAGGAGGGGAGAGUGGAAUUCCUAGUGUAGCGGUGAAAUGCGUAGAUAUAUGGAGGAACACCGGUGGCGAAAGCGGCUCUCUGGCCUGUAACUGACACUGAGGCUCGAAAGCGUGGGGAGCAAACAGGAUUAGAUACCCUUGUAGUCC